GAUGAACGCUGGCGGCGUGCCUAAUACAUGCAAGUCGAGCGAACAGACGAGGAGCUUGCUCCUCUGACGUUAGCGGCGGACGGGUGAGUAACACGUGGAUAACCUACCUAUAAGACUGGGAUAACUUCGGGAAACCGGAGCUAAUACCGGAUAAUAUAUUGAACCGCAUGGUUCAAUAGUGAAAGACGGUUUUGCCGUCACUUAUAGAUGGAUUCGCGCCGCAUUAGCUAGUUGGUAAGGUAACGGCUUACCAAGGCAACGAUGCGUAGCCGACCUGAGAGGGUGAUCGGCCACACUGGAACUGAGACACGGUCCAGACUCCUACGGGAGGCAGCAGUAGGGAAUCUUCCACAAUGGGCGAAAGCCUGACGGAGCAACGCCGCGUGAGUGAUGAAGGUCUUCGGAUUGUAAAGCUCUUUUAUUAGGGAAGAACAAAUGUGUAAGUAACUAUGCACGUCUUGACGGUACCUAAACAGAAAGCCACGGCUAACUACGUG
rnacentral:rRNA from 1 species